CCCUUAGAUGUUCUGGGCCGCACGCGCGCUACACUGUUCGACGCAGCGAGUCUUAACCUUGACCGAAAGGUUUGGGUAAUCUUCAGCAAAGUCGAACGUGAUGGGGAUCGAUCAUUGCAAUUAUUGAUCGUGAACGAGGAAUUCCUAGUAAGUGCAAGUCAUCGGCUUGCGCUGAUUACGUCCCUGCCCUUUGUACACACCGCCCGUCGCUACUACCGAUUGAAUGGUUUAGUGAGAUCUCUGGAUUGACGCUGGCUAGGGGGCGACCCUUGGCCAGACUGUUGAGAAACUGCUCAAACUUGAUCAUUUAGAGGAAGUAAAAGUCGUAACA
rnacentral:rRNA from 1 species